GUGCCAAUAGAAAUGGAUUAAGUUUUUAAGCAAUGGGAUAACUGUGGCUACAUUCAAAUAAAAUGAAAAAAAGGGCUGGUUAAGUUCCCUUACCUUCAAGUUUUGGACUUGGUGAGGACAUCCAGCAGGAAUGAAAACUGCUUCACCAAGCUUCUGCUCAAAUGUCCAGGGUUCCACACCUAUAUAACAAGCAUGCCAUGACAUAAGGGAAACAAGGCUACAGCACGAAAGGCUACAUUUCUGAGGAAAAACAGGGGAAAUAAACUCCCCACGAGUGCAAGGAAAACAAUACCUGCUUCACAGGAUUGCAAUGGAGGUUCCGGAAUUCCAAGGUGUGUUUCUUAAGAUAAUCUUGUAGCUUGUCAGCAUCCUCUCUUCGGAAAAUAUCCCACAAGGCACCACCAGUUCUCUCAUGCUCUCCACUCUCCGGAUUAUCCGAAAUACAAUGAGCUCCAUUAUGCAUCAUAGCCGAACUACCAUUGCCAAUGUAAUUGGAACACUGGGCUGCCUUGCUUUGUACCUUAGAUUCAUGAGAUGGAUGUUUAUCCCUAACAUCACCUUCACUAUCAAUAGGUGUUACAGCGUUGGUGUCCAGACCUGCACAGUGAAAACAAGAAUGUUGUAUUAAGUUAAAAAGUAAGGACAACUGAAAGUAAACAUGUACAACUCACCAUCAGAAAUAUCUUUACAGAUACUAUCA